rnacentral:rRNA from 1 species
AUUGAACGCUGGCGGCAGGCCUAAAACAUGCAAGUCGAGCGGUAGAGAGAAGCUUGCUCCUCUUGAGAGCGGCGGACGGGUGAGUAAUGCCUAGGAAUCUGCCUGGUAGUGGGGGAUAACGUUCGGAAACGGACGCUAAUACCGCAUACGUCCUACGGGAGAAAGCAGGGGACCUUCGGGCCUUGCGCUAUCAGAUGAGCCUAGGUCGGAUUAGCUAGUUGGUGGGGUAAUGGCUCACCAAGGCGACGAUCCGUAACUGGUCUGAGAGGAUGAUCAGUCACACUGGAACUGAGACACGGUCCAGACUCCUACGGGAGGCAGCAGUGGGGAAUAUUGGACAAUGGGCGAGAGCCUGAUCCAGCCAUGCCGCGUGUGUGAAGAAGGUCUUCGGAUUGUAAAGCACUUUAAGUUGGGAGGAAGGGCAGUAAAUUAAUACUUUGCUGUUUUGACGUUACCGACAGAAUAAGCACCGGCUAACUCUGUGCCAGCCGCCGCGGUAA